rnacentral:rRNA from 1 species
AUUGAACGCUGGCGGCAGGCCUAACACAUGCAAGUCGGGCGAGUGGCGGACGGGUGUGUAAUGUCUGGGGAUCUGCCUGAUGGAGGGGGAUAACUACUGGAACCGGUAGCUAAUACCGCAUACCCUCAGCUGUUCCCAUAUGGGAUUAGCUGGUAGGUGAGGUAACGGCUCACCUAGGCGACGAUCCCUAGCUGGUCUGAGAGGAUGAUCAGCCACACUGGGACUGAGAAACGGCCCAGACUCCUACGGGAGGCAGCAGUGGGGAAUAUUGCACAAUGGGCGCAAGCCUGAUGCAGCCAUGCCGCGUGUAUGAAGAAGGCCUUCGGGUUGUAAAGUACUUUCAGCCGGGAGGCGUUACCGACAGAAGAAGCACCGGCUAACUCCGUGCCAGCAGCCGCGGUAAUUC